UACUGACGCUGAGGCUCGAAAGCAUGGGUAGCGAACAGGAUUAGAUACCUGGUAGUCCAUGCCGUAAACGAUGAAUGCUAAGUGUGGAGGGUUUCCGCCUUCAGUGCUGCAGCUAACGCAUUAAGCAUUCCGCCUGGGGAGUACGACCGCAAGGUUGAAACUCAAAGGAAUUGACGGGGGCCCGCACAAGCGGUGGAGCAUGUGGUUUAAUUCGAAGCAACGCGAAGAACCUUACCAGGUCUUGACAUCCUUUGACCACUCUAGAGAUAGAGCUUUCCCUUCGGGGACAAAGUGACAGGUGGUGCAUGGUUGUCGUCAGCUCGUGUCGUGAGAUGUUGGGUUAAGUCCCGCAACGAGCGCAACCCUUAUUGUUAGUUGCCAUCAUUCAGUUGGGCACUCUAGCGAAACUGCCGGUGACAAACCGGAGGAAGGUGGGGAUGACGUCAAAUCAUCAUGCCCCUUAUGGCCUGGGCUACACACGUGCUACAAUGGACAGUACAAUGAGCAGCGACACGGCGACGUGAAGCGAAUCUCAUAAAGCUGUUCUCAGUUCGGAUUGUAGGCUGCAACUCGCCUACAUGAAGCCGGAAUCGCUAGUAAUCGCGGAUCAGCACGCCGCGGUGAAUACGUUCCCGGGCCUUGUACACACCGCCCGUCACACCACGAAAGUUUGUAACACCCAAAGUCGGUGAGGUAACCUUCGGGAGCCAGCCGCCUAAGGUGGGAUAGAUGAUUGGGGUGAAGUCGUAACAAGGUAACCA
rnacentral:rRNA from 1 species